GAGGAGCUCAUGAAAAUAAAAUGUCUCAUCAAUGUAUCUCUGCAUUAUCAACAUGUUCUCGCCAUACUCCUUCCGCAACUGAAAGUUCAGUCUUCUUAAAAAGCUUUACUCGAGGCAUGUCAUUGAACUCUUGAUUCUCUGUUUUAAACAAGCAAGACUGCAGACCAUUUAUUAACUCUAACAGAGCCAAACCAAUUAACUGCUUAAUAGUACCAUCAAAUUCUUUGAUCCGGUCUCUACACCAACCUAAAAACUUUUGUGCAAAAUUCAGGAAUUUACAGACACAGUUCCUAUCAACCCAGCAUACUGGACCAUUUAGUGUACACACCAUGAGUGGAAAAAUCAAAUAUUCCCAACACCACCAUAUAACGACUCAAGUUAAUAUCCUUGUUGUUUUUAGCAAUUUCAACAUGUGUUUCAGCGAGUAAUUGAGCACAGAAACUCGUUACCAUUUCUAUACUAGGUCAAACUGAGAUGACCAUCUCAACCAGUACAUUCUCCAGAAGACAUGGAGCACCAAUGCUGGUUCCCUUUUUCAUUGUAUCAUCCAAAUCUUUGAGUACCUCAUCAUCUGCAUGACCAAUUAUUGCUGGACCCCAUGAACCAACAUAGUCAAUGUACUCAUUCCAAUCAAUGUCCCACAUGUGAGAGCCCUUGACAGAAUCAAUUACAAUAAGCUGUCCACCAACUGAUUUAAAUGCAGAGACAGGGAAAUUUACACUUCCAGGCAUCAAUUCCUUGGUGAGUUCACCAUUUGUAUCUACAAACUUCCUAAAUGCUGAUGGAAACAUGCUCAGAAACAUUCCAGCCCCAAAUGAAAUUUUAAAAUGCUCUACUGAAGUGUGAGCUACCAACUCUUUUUGCACCAAGAUUACCAAAAGUUCAAGCCCUGCCCAAUACUCUCUCAUAAAAUGAAUUCCUUAUUCCUUCUAUCAUUUUUGCAAAAAUGAGAAUUAACCUUUUCCUCAAAAAUUUGUCCUCUCCAUUUAACAUGUAAAAUGCAACAUCACAAGAUGUGUAAUCAUUGAAACAAAUACUGAAAACUAGGAGAUGAGGAAAAUUAUUCAAAUUCCAUCUUGAUAAUACCUUUAGUCCCUCACACCCAACUGCUCUAGUUUCCAUAUUAGCAUCAAAGCUUACCUCAUGUCUAAUUAUAUUUUCUGCAUCAAUUUCCUAUCCUUUAAAAAAUAAUUUGUCCACAAGGAGGAAUUUUGGAGCAUUUUUGUAUUCUGCAGCACUAGUGAAAUAAAAUAUUUCUCCUGGAUCAAAACUAAAUCCUAAAGAUUUAGAGAUUGUCGCUCUACCAUGAAAAACUAAAUGAUGCUCCAACUCUUUUAUAAUACAACAACUUCCCACAUGUACAUUAUAGCCCAGAUCACAAAGGAAUGCACCAGCUAGGACAAAAAGUACUCCAUUUGUUUUAGAGUAUUCCUUGUUAUCCUUCACUUUAUGCAUCCACAUAAAGGAAUGGUUUGCAACCUCACUCGGGAUAAUAUGGGGCUGAAGUUUGUACUCGAACUUUGUAAUCCUCAAUUGUACCCUCAUUAGCGGCUAUCACGAGUCCCCAAUUACUUGCCUUCUCUUUUUCAGAUACUAAAGUUCUCAAAGCAUUAAAAGCUAAAUUAAAUUUAGACAACUGAGAGGAAGUUAUAGCAUUCCUUUCAGGAAUUUCUUCAAACACCCUAGCCUCAUCCCUUUUUGCAAACUCCGUACCAGAAAUUGUGAGGGAUUGAACAUUUUCAACUUGCAAUGAUUCAUGGGAUUGAAAAUGUGAGUCUUGUUUGGAAUAAAUUCAGUAUAGGAUAAUUCAAAUUUCUAAAUACCAUCCCAAAAUAAAGAGAAUGACACAUGAGAUGCAAAUGUAGGACUAGGAUUAAAUAUUUUUAGUAAGUACGGGAGGUUUGGAUUCAUUUUCUGAAUGUAAUGUAAUGGGAAAGCCUAUAAAAGGCCGUCUUGUACUGAAAAUUAUCAAUCGAAUAUGAAAAAUCAAUUUCCAAUCUCUCUCUAAAUAUCUUCUCUCCCUACUCUGCUACAUUGGUGCUUUCAUUGAGAGAGCUCAAUGGCUUAUCUCAAUUCUAUUGAGGCAAUUUUUACCCAAUUUACAGAUCAGUUUUGUGCUACCAUGGCCACGGUCGUACAACAUCAAUUCGAGGUGGUGAAACAAACUCAUCACACUCCUUACACAAAGAAACAUAUUAAUAAUCAGGAGAAGAAUUUAGAGAGAGACUGGAAAUUGAUUUUUCAUAUUCGAUUGACAAUUUUCAGUACAAGACAGCCUUUUAUAGGCUUUCUCACUAUAUUGCAUUCAGAAAAUGAAUCCAAACCUUCCAUACUUACUAAAAAUAUUUAAUCCUAGCCCUACAUUUGCAUCUCAUGUGUCAAUUCUCUUUAUUUUGGGAUGGUAUUUGGAAAUUUGAAUUAUCCUUUACCGAAUUUAUUCCAAACAAGACUAACAUUUGUAACAGUGGGGGUGGGGGUGGACCUGGACAAAUGUUCCUAGUUUCAAUCAAUCCGUAUCUUUGCUCAUGGCUUGUGUGCCUGUUGUUGCAGUUAAAAAAUUACAGGCUAAUGGGUUUAGUCAUGGCUGUUGAAGCAACCGAAGUUUCCACAUUCCGAGAGCAGUUGCGAUGUUUGAUAGACGAAUGAUGGUGCCACCAGAAUGUCCAAUUUUCUCUAGUUUCUAGUUCCUACACUGUUCCUAAUCUUUCUUUUAGAAAGUAUUGUUCAAACUAAAUGUUUUUAUCACCACAUUAUCUUGCAGAUUUCCAUAGUUUUACUUUCCAUUUGACUCGAUACUUCACUGAACGGCCUUUAAUGGAUUUUUGUUUAAGGAUGCCUGUGCAGUUGUUUAGCAGGAGUCAUUACGUAGUUACAUGGUAGAAAUUAUAUAUGAUAUUUUACCUUAUUAUGUUUUAUGGUGAACCGAAUUAAAUAACGGUGAAACUAGUUUUCUAUAAAUCUGAGUUGAUGGAUAUUGGAGAUUUGUUUAACGUUCUUUUUGUUUUUGUUGUUCGCAUUGGUUUAGGGGUAUUAGUGUCACCAUUUGAAAAUACUUUAAAAUUUAUUGCAAUAUAUAUUUCAUUAUAAAUUGACAUGAAUUUUGAACCAUUUGUAUUGUACCAGGCUUGAUCUCGAAAUUGGUGGCAUUAAUGGCAGGCUUAGUAAUACUAGACUGAAUUUCUGUAACUCGCGGUGUGGCUUAGUCCUGCAGUGAUUUCUGUUCUUUUUUAGCCAUAUUACCCGGUGUUUCUAGAUUCUCUCGAGUUUCCUUAAUUCACUUACUCAAUCGUUGAAACUUUUUUCAGUGUAUUCCUUGUAAGGCAACAAUUUUGGCUUCUUUUUGCAUGCACUACUCAAGAGUACCUGAAACAGGAAGUAAACGAAAAAAGAAAAGAAAAGUGUUUAACUAAAAUUGAUUUAAUUAAAUUGAUAUUGAAAGUAAUAAAUACAGUUAUAGUCUUUGGCAACGGUGCCAAAAAUUUGUUAGGUAAAAUUUAGUUGCGCACAAUACGCAAGUAUACGUAGUCAACAAGUAAUAAAG
rnacentral:lncRNA from 1 species